CCAAGCAGAGGCAGUGCAGAGCUCUGAGUUUAGAGGUGUCUGACUUGAUUGCCUGCAGUGCUAAUUGAAUUGAGUGUCAUCAGUGUAAAUAUUUUGCAUUCUCUUGCUUCACUGGAUAGCAUUUAACCUGGGGUAUUGUGAAGCUGAGAAAUACAAAUGUGCUGUUUGUUACAGAGAGGGUAUUUUUUGGAACUGCUGUGCAAACAAAUGUGGUGGGCACCUGCAGUGAUGUCACUAAACUUGGUGUGGACUGUGAGUUAAUAUCGUGUAGAAGUGGCUUAUAAAUCGCUGCUGCUUCCAGGCCCCAUGGCCUCUAAUAGCAGCAUGUCCCUCCACCCUCCUAGGAGCAGAGGGGUGGGCAGCUCAGAUAAUAGAGCUGCUCUGCCCAUCUCCUCUCUUUCACUGAAGAGCAAGGCAAGACAUGACAGAGCAGCAAGUGAGAUCUGGACAUCUCUGCACAAGUCAUUACCAGAUGGAAAACAGUGGAGGGACUAUCCGGGUGCUGUUGACCUGACUCCAAUACCCUAAAGAUUAGGCAACUGAGAACAACCUUCUGUCUGAACUCUACACCGUGGUCCCAACUGAAUAAUUUCCCUGGCCUGUGUUAAGACAUCACUACACCACAAAAAAGGACCAUGUAAAGGUGACUGAUGACUACUCUUCUCUCCAGCUGCUCAUGAUGCCUCAGUUCUUGUGGGUCCUGCAAUACUGAGGGAGUAGCUGGAAGAAGCAAAGACAUUUUUCUUCAGGCAGGAAGUUAUUUAAUCCUCUUAAUAGUGAUAUUUUGACUUUGGGAUUAUCUCAACAACUAAUCACUGUUAAGUUUGUGUAUGAAAGUUUUGGAGAAAUUAGUAUUUAAAACUACUAGGAAGGAGGGAGAACAGUGGUUUAUAACGGGAGGGAAGGAGUAUUUGUCUUGAGUAUUUGUGUCGAGUAUUUGUCUCAUAAUUUAUUGGCAGACUUAGUCUUUUGGGCAAUAAUUUUGAUGUACGAUUAUGGGAUGCCCUUUUUCAGUGAAAAACAUGAUUAUCUAAGGUUGUUUUUAAGAAUUACAAGACAGAUAUAUUGAUAACCUAACUACGAAGUUAACAAAUUCUGCAGACGUGUAUAAAAUAUAUUUUACACAUGGUUUUGGCAUCAAAUCCAGAAUGUCAUUAAGGGUCCUGGUCAUCAGAAAUUUUACUUCUUUGACUGUAUUACUUUGUGGAGUUUCAAUAUGGCCACCUAGUCCUGGGAAAAAAACUACCCACAACACCUUAGACCAUAGUGGAUGAUCCUUCUGCAACUUGUAACCUGGCAAGAACCACAUGUCUGUGUAGCUCCAUUUGUGUGGAGAACUUUGCUGCUGAUUUCACGGGGAUUUCUCACUGGAAUAAACUUAGGAACUGUGUAUAUUCAUAACCAUGCUUCUUGAUGAAUAGAGACUUCUUUUGUAGCUUCAAAGGUAAAUUGAAGAAUUCAAGUACAUCCAUCCUU